UACGUAGGCAGCGAGCGUUGUUCGGAGUUACUGGGCGUAAAGGGUGUGUAGGCGGUUCUUUAAGUUUGGUGUGAAAUCUCCCGGCUCAACCGGGAGGGUGCGCCGAAUACUGAGGGACUCGAGUGCGGGAGAGGGAAGUGGAAUUCCUGGUGUAGCGGUGAAAUGCGUAGAUAUCAGGAGGAACACCGGUGGUGUAGACGGCUUUCUGGACCGUAACUGACGCUGAGACACGAAAGCGUGGGUAGCAAACAGG
rnacentral:rRNA from 1 species